rnacentral:lncRNA from 1 species
CUAACCAGUACACUACAUGCAUGGAAUUCCACAACCCAUACAGAACUUUCCCAGAAUCAGCUUGGGCCUGACAGCAGGUAGCUCUGCUUUCUUAACUCUUUGAGACAUGCAGUGCAUGUCCGUGGCAUAUGAGGAAAGAAAAUGGCUCUUUAUUACUAAUAGGAAACAAGGGCAGCCUGGAUUUUCAUGCUAGGGACUUCCUCUGUGCUUAGUUAUUUAUUUAUUUAUUUAUUUAUUUCUAUUAUGCUUUCUUGACAUUGACAUGGGUGACAUUGUCUAAAGGAAAUUGUGGGUCAUGUGAAUUUUUCCCAACGUUACAGACUUUGAAGGAUUGUGUUCAUUCCAAUAUUGGGAUGGGGAAACUGUUUGUUCCAUGCACACCUAUUGCUUGGUCUUGGCAGUUGCUGAUACACUUGUCUCACUCACAGUCCCAAAGUUGAGAAUUUACACUGGAAACCAUGAACCCUCACUUUCCCAAGCAGAGACACUGUUAAUGUUACGAUGGCGCAUAAAUACCUCAACUGUCUGGGCUGAGAGAAGGGGCUGCAGGUUUAUAAGAGAGCAGCUACAGUCCUCAUUCCGUGUGGUUCCAACCAUCUGACAACAGGACUUGACAUUCUAGUCUCUCUCACUGUGGUAAAGAAAUGUUACUGUUUAAUUCAUAUCCAAAGUCAUAAAUACAGCUUGUAAAUUCUACUAACUUGUUUCAUUUUUUGUUUGGUCCUUGAGAAAUUCAACUUGCAUUUUGCAGAUGGUGAUUUCUGGUGUCGUUUUCUGCUACUUUUUUUUUCCUGUAUAGAAUUGCUGUACUUGUUAAAGUUUGUUUGUUGUGUGGUUUUUAAUUCCCAUUGGUGCACUGUACAAUGGGGUGUUGUAACGUACCAUGAAGAAAGAAAUAAUAUGCAGAUGUAUUAUGGAGUGUAUUUUAUUUUUAAAUGACUGUGAUGUUGACAAUAUAUUGAUUUGUCAAAAUUCUAAGGGAAAAUUCUAAAUUUACCAAAAUGUGUAUAUUUUAAUAAAUGCAUAAAGCUUUUUGGUGUGCCUUUAAAUUUAAAAAUGAGUUUAUAAAGAAAAUUGGAAACAAAAGUGUCUUACUUUAAAAAUAUCCAUAGUAAUGGAAAGCUCUUACAUAGGAGACAAUGAGAGAAAGAAAGAGGGAAAAAAAUCAAAGAAGCUUCCCAUAUUAUACUAACCUUAACAAGUAUCUGAAGUCUGUUACUUUUUUUUACAUCCUAAAAUGGAGAUGAAUGAGUGAGUUUUGCCUUAAGUGUUUUAAUUUUCCUUGUAGAAGAGACAGAUAAAUAUCUCAUUUUGAAACUUAUUGCAUUAUUGUGGAAAAUUC